GACUAACGCUGGCGGCGUGCCUAACACAUGCAAGUCGAGCGAAUGAAGUUCCUUCGGGAACGGAUUCAGCGGCGGACGGGUGAGUAACACGUGGGCAACCUGCCUCAUAGAGGGGAAUAGCCUUCCGAAAGGGAGAUUAAUACCGCAUAAGAUUGUAGUACCGCAUGGUACAGCAAUUAAAGGAGCAAUCCGCUAUGAGAUGGGCCCGCGGCGCAUUAGCUAGUUGGUGAGGUAACGGCUCACCAAGGCGACGAUGCGUAGCCGACCUGAGAGGGUGAUCGGCCACAUUGGGACUGAGACACGGCCCAGACUCCUACGGGAGGCAGCAGUGGGGAAUAUUGCACAAUGGGGGAAACCCUGAUGCAGCAACGCCGCGUGAGUGAUGACGGCCUUCGGGUUGUAAAGCUCUGUCUUCAGGGACGAUAAUGACGGUACCUGAGGAGGAAGCCACGGCUAACUACGUGCCAGCAGCCGCCGCGGUAA
rnacentral:rRNA from 1 species